CACGAUCACUGAAGUUAAGCAACGUUGAGCCUGAUUAGUACCUAGAUGGGUGACCGCUUGGGAAUAAUACGGACUGUAA